CCUACGGGAGGCAGCAGUGGGGAAUAUUGGGCAAUGGAGGAAACUCUGACCCAGCAACGCCGCGUGAAGGAUGAAGGUUUUCGGAUUGUAAACUUCUGUCGCGAGGGAUGAAGAAUGACGGUACCUCGUAAUAAAGCCCCGGCAAACUACGGGCCAGCAGCCGGGGCUAUACGUAGGGGGCGAGCGUUGUUCGGAAUGACUGGGCGUGAAGGGAGGGUAGGCGGCAUAGUAAGUUAUGUGUGAAAGCCCGCGGCUCAACCGCGGAAUUGCACAUGAAACUGGCAAGCUAGAGUGAGGGAGAGGUAAGCGGAAUUCCCGGUGUAGCGGUGGAAUGCGUAGAUAUCGGGAGGAACACCAGAGGCGAAGGCGACUUACUGGACUGUAACUGACGCUGAGGCUCGAAAGCGUGGGGAGCAAACAGGAUUAGAUACCCGAGUAGUC
rnacentral:rRNA from 1 species